rnacentral:rRNA from 1 species
AUGGGCGGAAGCCUGAUGCAGCGACGCCGCGUGAGGGAUGACGGCCUUCGGGUUGUAAACCUCUUUCAGUAGGGAAGAAGCGAGAGUGACGGUACCUGCAGAAGAAGCGCCGGCUAACUACGUGCCAGCAGCCGCGGUAAUACGUAGGGCGCAAGCGUUGUCCGGAAUUAUCGAAAAAUAAAGAGCUCGUAGGCGGUUUGUCGCGUCUGCUGUGAAAGCCCGGGGCUCAACCCCGGGUCUGCAGUGGGUACGGGCAGACUAGAGUGCAGUAGGGGAGACUGGAAUUCCUGGUGUAGCGGUGAAAUGCGCAGAUAUCAGGAGGAACACCGAUGGCGAAGGCAGGUCUCUGGGCUGUUACUGACGCUGAGGAGCGAAAGCAUGGGGAGCGAACAGGAUUAGAUACCCUGGUAGUCCAUGCCGUAAACGUUGGGCACUAGGUGUGGGGGAGGGUCCACGUUUUCCGCGCCGUAGCUAACGCAUUAAGUGCCCCGCCUGGG